rnacentral:tRNA from 1 species
GUCGGCAUAGCUCAGUUGGUA